UAAUAGACCAAGUAUGUUAAAUAGGUGA
rnacentral:piRNA from 1 species